rnacentral:misc_RNA from 1 species
GUGAAUCAUCAAAUCUUUGAACGCAAAUUGCACUCCCUGGUAUUCCGGGGAGUAUGCCUGUUUGAGGGUCGUUAGAACAAACAUCGAAGCGUCGCUCUUUUUUUUUUAAGGGUGAUCGCGUCGGAAUUUAGCCGUCUUUCAAUUGUUAAUUCAUGUCAAGAUUGCUUGAAAUUCAACCAUCCGCUACGAUUAAAGAGUA